rnacentral:lncRNA from 1 species
CACAACUCCAUUAUCAUGCUUCCCCUGUGAUGGUUUACAGGUAUUCCACGCUCCUCUUUCGGGGUAAGCAACUCAUUUCUCCGGCGAUUUGUUUACUCUCAACAGUUUGCUCGUUUUUGAUAGGUCUUCGGAGGAGUUUUUUAUUUUUAUUUUUUUCGGUGUUUGCAGACCUGAUCGCGUCAGUGAGACAGGCAUUUCUUGUGAUGAGUGGUGGAGUACAAGUGAUGUGAUCGAGAGGGAUAAUAGCAUUAUUCUACCUGUCUUCGAGGAGACAACCCAAAGCUAAGUUGCACUAUAUCUUACUAGAAUGUGGUUUCCCAAUUUCAGAAAUAGGAGAGCUUUGCAUUUCUCACUUGUAAUCCAGCUACAAAUUAAUCUAGAGCUAUCGCAAGGUCGACACUGCACUGACCCGUGAAUGACAUUCAACGUUUACAGGCUUCAUUGUGUGGCUUUCAAUGAAAAGAGAGGAAGGCAGAUAUGAAUGUAAUCUCUCAUUGACCUAUUUAAACGUUUCACGUUAUGAGACUGCAUGAUAUUCACGUCUAUAAUCGUUUCUCAAGUCCGUGAUUGCCUUCAAUGCAUCGCCAAAUGAACUACGUGAAGGUUGCUUUACAGAAACGGAAUCCAAUGUAGCUUCUUUCUUGGUAGAAUUGUUUGAGAGAGAGAGAGAGAGAGAGAGAGAGAGAGAGAGAGAGAGAGAGAGAGAGAGAGAGAGAG